UCCGUUUGCCUUCCGCGGUGUAUGGA
rnacentral:sRNA from 1 species